UUUCAACUCGAUAUUCGCAGCAAAGGUAGACUUCUAUCGGUCGAGGUGUCGGGAAACUCAUAAACAUAGCCUCCGUCUGCCUAAACUAUAGAUCGUCCACGUACUGGACUGCCCUUAGGAGUAAUGGAUUAAUCGACGCAAAGGAAAGUGCAAGUAUUCUCAAGAAAGUAUCAUGGUAUAGUCAAAUUCCA